rnacentral:lncRNA from 1 species
CUGAGGAGGACGGGAAGGAUACCUUGAAUGUGAGGCCCAGGUCAAGAGGCUACACAAUAAAAAGAUCUGAAAAAUUUUCACGACCUGCAACAGCUCCUGGUUCCUGGUCAUCUUUUCUGGCUUCUCCUCACCUGGCUGAAGAAACGCAGCCUACAGAACCUGGACCACACAGAACCUGCCUUUGCCAACAUGCAGAUUCCCGUCAGGGAAAAGCUUCUGGGAUGUGGAAGCACCUCCAUGAUGUGGCCCCAAGCACCCUGUAACUGCUCUACUCUCCCACUCUUCUCGUACAACCCUGAGUAAUUCCACAGACAGCUACACUUUACUUCAACAUGUUACACAAAAUAUGUUUGUUAUUUUUGGCAACCAAACAAUUUCUUCUUCCACUUGUAUUUUUAUGUACAUAGUAUAAAGUCAUCAUCUCCAAAUGAUUUCUACCCAAUUCUGAUAAUGCCCCAACUGCCUAUAAGUCAACUGUAUGUGUAUUGGGCCAGAUAAUGGUAACUAUCUAGUAAUUAAAUACUCUUCUUAGGUGUUUAAGGCUUGUGUAUCUUGGUUUGACUAUUGUGAUGAACAACAGCACUAAAUCCUUCUUGGGAUGGGGAUUAAUUU